rnacentral:lncRNA from 1 species
AUUCCCGGGCCCUGGCUUCUUGGCGCGAUGAGGUUCCGGUUCUGUGGUGAUCUGGACUGUCCCGACUGGGUCCUGGCAGAAAUCAGCACGCUGGCCAAGAUGGUUGAGUGCACAGGGUCUAGUCUGGGUGGAGGAGGGGUGUUGGGGGUGGGGAUUGUGGGUGUAGAGGAUGGUGAGGUUUCUCUGGGGCUAGGGCCUCAGUGCUCUCAGCCUGUGCUACCAUGCUUUGUGACCUUGAUCAGUGGCUGGCCUGCUCUGAGCCAGUCCCCAGGAAGGAGGGGUGAGGUUUGCCAGCCUGGCUGAUGUAAGGACUUCCCUUCCAGUCCUCUGUGAAGUUGCGGCUGCUCUGCAGCCAGGUACUAAAGGAGCUGCUGGGACAGGGGAUUGAUUAUGAGAAGAUCCUGAAGCUCACGGCUGACGCCAAGUUUGGUGAGUAUCCCGCUGAGUCUAUAGGCCCCAGGCAACCCUGGGAACUUGGCCUGGUGCCUGG